UAAGGCAAGGCAUAUUUGCUCAAUAAUUUAUUUAUUAUGUUAAUUUUUAAACAAAACAUCUUUCAUACUGCAGCUUUAAGAACCUUGAUAACACAAUACCAAGAUACUUAUACUUGUUAUACGAUCAUACAGUAUAGUGUCGUACAGAAAUAACAGUCACUGCCCCUAAUUUACUUGUGUUCCUACAAUGAGGUAGGUGUCUCCAGACAUUUAAGCUAAACAUGCUUUUCACUCAAGACACUGCGGUCUACAUUUCCUAAAAAAAAACUUGACAAUGGAUAGACAUCUUGGCUAGACUUGAAAAAUGUCUAAAUUACUGAAUACAAAUUAAAUAUCUGUAGAAUGUGAAUGCUUAGAGAAGGGGAGAUCUAGGGCUACCUGAGGGCUACCCUUAACAUAAAAUUAGGCCCAUUAGAUGAGUAGGUGGUCUGGCAUGGGGAGGGGGGCAUAUAGAAAGUGAACUCUGUCCUCCAGCUGUAACACCAGCCACUUCUUUUCUGCUUGAAUUACAGCAGGGUCACCUACAAGCCUGAAGCCCUCUAAGGUUUACACACUUUACAUUCACAAACGUGGCUCCCCCUAUUAUGACCACAGACUGACUGCAAUCCCCUAGUCACCGGAUAAUCAGGCAUGUUUUCAGCAAGACCUCUGCAACCUUUCUCAAUGGUGGAAAGAUUCUUUGGAGUAUGUAGAUGCCAUACUCGUACUGAUGUGCAAAGAAGAGCAUGUGCUGUUGGGUUAUAAACCUGCAUUUAUUUAUUAUUAUCACUCCCAUGUUCCAGAGAAAGAAAGCUAGAGGGGACCAAUAAUAAUGAGAAUUUAGCAAUAUUUCAUUUAAGUUACUGUAGAUAUGAUGUUGUUUUUUUAAGCGGAAAUGUGGAACACUUUGAAUUAUUUAAUUUUGACUGACUUUUAUUUUUAAUAAUUUUUUUAUCAUCUCAAUAUUUUAUAGGUUUUAAUGGAAUUUGAAGAUAUUACUGUUGCCAUUUGUUAAGACAUGAAACAUUAAGGGACAGCCAUACACAAAUAUCCUUAUUCUGUCUACUUAAUAGCUCACAAAUGACUGUCAAUCCAUUCCUAAGUAUUAGGUCCCUUACCACAGAGAAUUGUAAGUUAACUUAAGACAUGCCCUUUUCUCAGUCUCAAACUAAAUAAAAAUCACUUAUAAAGGUUUUA